CCUACGGGGGGCAGCAGUGGGGAAUAUUGGACAAUGGGCGAAAGCCUGAUCCAGCCAUGCCGCGUGUGUGAAGAAGGCCUUCGGGUUGUAAAGCAUUUUCAGUGGGGAAGAAAGCCUUGGGGCUAAUACCCUCGAGGAAGGACAUCACCCACAGAAGAAGCACCGGCUAACUCCGUGCCAGCAGCCGCGGUAAUACGGAGGGUGCGAGCGUUAAUCGGAAUUACUGGGCGUAAAGCGCGCGUAGGCGGUCUGAUAAGCCGGUUGUGAAAGCCCCGGGCUCAACCUGGGAACGGCAUCCGGAACUGUCAGGCUAGAGUGCAGGAGAGGAAGGUAGAAUUCCCGGUGUAGCGGUGAAAUGCGUAGAGAUCGGGAGGAAUACCAGUGGCGAAGGCGGCCUUCUGGACUGACACUGACGCUGAGGUGCGAAAGCGUGGGUAGCAAACAGGAUUAGAUACCCGUGUAGUC
rnacentral:rRNA from 1 species